ensembl:snRNA U6 U6 spliceosomal RNA
GUGCUUGCUUCGGCAGCACAUAUACUAGAAUUGGAACAAUACAGAGACGAUUAGCAUGGCCCCUGGGCAAGGAUGACACGCAAAUUCGUGAAGUGUUCCAUAUUUUU